AAUGGCAGCCCACUCCAGUACUCUUGCCUGGAGAAUCCCAUGGAUGGAGGAGCCUGGUGGGCUGCAGUCCAUGGGGUCACGAAGAGUCAGACAUGACUGAGUGACUUCACUUUGACUAUUCACUCUCAUGCAUUGGAGAAGGAAAUGGCAACCCACUCCAGUAUUGUAGCUUCUUACUUUUCUUUGAUAAGUUCCUUUGAGGUCACUUGCUUAGAUGCUCCAGAAAUUAAGGCUAUAAAUAACAAUCACUGCAGAAGAGAGGAAUGCUGGGCUUCAAGCCUUGGAAAUGUUGCCACCAAGUCACCAAGUCCUUCACCUCAGCCUCUCUGGUCAGUAACCAGCAGACACUGGCAGCAUGCAGAAAUCUCAUCCCUUAUCCACUAUCAUGUUGUGACUAUUAAAGCGUACAAGAGAGUACCUGCUCCCUGACAAAUGACAAGGAAGAAGACAUCUCAUAUCCAUCGAUACACAGAAACUACUGCAAAUAUAAAAAGACAAUUCUGGGAGAAGGUGUCAAGAAAUCUAAUGGGUUAACAAUGUUCAGGACAUUUAAUCUUCAGCUGUGCCUUGUUUGUGCCAGUUGGAAUGGCAUAAGUCAUAAAAAGGACUCCAUAUCCAUGAUGGCAGGAUGGCAUCCCCACAUUCCACCCCUGGCUGUACUCACUGCAUCAACCUCUCCCCCGGCCCCCACAACUUAAACUUAGAAUAGUAACAGCAGUCCUCUGCACGGCAUUUCCUGGGCAUUGGACGUGAGCCUCUCGGAAGCAGGCAGCUGCUGCAUAAUAGAAAGAGUCCUCACCUAGAAGUCAGGGCACCUGAGUCCAUUUUCCUCUUAGUCCCCUCUGACUCCAUGACCUUGGUCAAGCACUUAACCUUCUCUCUACUGUAAAAGGGAGAAAACAUUCCUAUUCCACUUCUCCCCUCCUGGCUGUGAGGAUCAAAUGAAGUGACAUGGCUCUCAAGAACCCUAAGAGAGUUGGACUUUGAUCUGCAGGUCCCAGGAUGUCUUAAGUAUUCCAAGCUAACUCAACCUUUGCCCCAGCUUUGGGAAACUUCACAUCCACUCCCUUAGAUUUUUUGUGUAUCUUCUUUCUUGCGCCUCUUCUGAAGGUAUAAACUGAACUUCUUUCCAGGGAUGUUUUGACUGAAUUUAUACUCCUUUAACAAUCAUUCAGUCCAAUGGUCAGAUCUUCAAAGAGAGGAGUGGGCUGGAGACCAGUCAUAACCAGAGGCUUUUAAAAGCCUAUGGCAACUCAACUGGGAGAAUCUGAAGAUCGACUCUCCGUGGACUAACUGAGCCCUUAGGAGACCAG
rnacentral:lncRNA from 1 species